CUUCGGGAGCUGACGAGUGGCGGACGGGUGAGUAACGCGUAGGGAUCUGCCUCAUAGUGGGGGACAACGUGGGGAAACUCACGCUAAUACCGCAUACGCCCUACGGGGGAAAGCGGGGGACCUUCGGGCCUCGCGCUAUGAGAUGAGCCUGCGUUAGAUUAGCUAGUUGGUGGGGUAAAGGCCUACCAAGGCGACNAUCUAUAGCUGGUCUGGGAGGACNAUCAGCCACACUGGGACUGAGACACGGCCCAGACUCCUACGGGAGGCAGCAGUGGGGAAUAUUGGACAAUGGGCGCAAGCCUGAUCCAGCAAUACCGCGUGUGUGAANAANGCCUUAGGGUUGUAAAGCACUUUCAAUUGGGANGAAAACCUACCGGUCAAUACCCGGUAGCUUGACAUUACCUUUAGAAGAAGCACCGGCUAACUCCGUGCCAGCAGCCGCGGUAAUACGGAAGGUGCAAGCGUUAAUCGGAAUUACUGGGCGUAAAGCGUGCGUAGGCGGGUCGUUAAGUCAGAUGUGAAAGCCCUGGGCUCAACCUGGGAACUGCAUUUGAU
rnacentral:rRNA from 1 species